UACGUAGGGGGCGAGCGUUGUCCGGAUUUAUUGGGCGUAAAGAGCGUGUAGGCGGCCACGCAGGUCCGUUGUGAAAACUGGAGGCUUAACCUCCAGACGUCGAUGGAAACCGUAUGGCUAGAGUCCGGAAGAGGAGAGUGGAAUUCCUGGUGUAGCGGUGAAAUGCGCAGAUAUCAGGAAGAACACCCGUGGCGAAGGCGGCUCUCUGGGACGGUACUGACGCUGAGACGCGAAAGCGUGGGGAGCGAACAGG
rnacentral:rRNA from 1 species